rnacentral:rRNA from 1 species
UAGGGAAUCUUCCGCAAUGGGCGAAAGCCUGACGGAGCAACGCCGCGUGAGUGAAGAAGGAUUUCGGUUCGUAAAGCUCUGUUGUUAGGGAAGAAUGAUUGUGUAGUAACUAUACACAGUAGAGACGGUACCUAACCAGAAAGCCACGGCUAACUACGUGCCAGCAGCCGCGGUAAUACGUAGGUGGCAAGCGUUGUCCGGAAUUAUUGGGCGUAAAGCGCGCGCAGGUGGUUUAAUAAGUCUGAUGUGAAAGCCCACGGCUCAACCGUGGAGGGUCAUUGGAAACUGUUAAACUUGAGUGCAGGAGAGAAAAGUGGAAUUCCUAGUGUAGCGGUGAAAUGCGUAGAGAUUAGGAGGAACACCAGUGGCGAAGGCGGCUUUUUGGCCUGUAACUGACACUGAGGCGCGAAAGCGUGGGGAGCAAACAGGGUUAGAUACCCUGGUAGUCCACGCCGUAAACGAUGAGUGCUAAGUGUUGGUCUCAUAAGAGAUCAGUGCUGCAGCUAACGCAUUAAGCACUCCGCCUGGGGAGUACGACCGCAAGGUUG